rnacentral:tRNA from 1 species
UGUGGCUCAGUGGCAGAGUGCUUGUUUCACAUGCAUGAGGCUCUGGGUUUGAUCCUCAGCA